rnacentral:rRNA from 2 species
UUGCGCCGGCGAUGGUUCAUUCAAAUUUCUUCCCUAUCAACUUUCGAUGUUUGGGUAUUGGCCAAACAUGGUUGCAACGGGUAACGGAGGGUUAGGGCUCGACCCCGGAGAAGGAGCCUGAGAAACGGCUACUACAUCCAAGGAAGGCAGCAGGCGCGCAAAUUACCCAAUCCCGACUCGGGGAGGUAGUGACAAUAAAUACUGAUACAGGGCUCUUUUGGGUCUUGUAAUUGGAAUGAGUACAAUUUAAAUCCCUUAACGAGGAACAAUUGGAGGGCAAGUCUGGUGCCAGCAGCCGCGGUAAUUCCAGCUCCAAUAGCGUAUAUUAAAGUUGUUGUGGUUAAAAAGCUCGUAGUUGAACCUUGGGCCUGGCUGGCCGGUCCGCCUCACCGCGUGUACUGGUUCGGCCGGGCCUUUCCCUCUGUGGAACCCCAUGCCCUUCACUGGGUGUGGCGGGGAAACAGGACUUUUUACUGUGAAAAAAUUAGAGUGCUCCAGGCAGGCCUAUGCUCGAAUACAUUAGCAUGGAAUAAUAGAAUAGGACGUGUGGUUCUAUUU